rnacentral:rRNA from 1 species
GAUGAACGCUGGCGGCGUGCCUAAUACAUGCAAGUCGAGCGAACGGACGAGAAGCUUGCUUCUCUGAUGUUAGCGGCGGACGGGUGAGUAACACGUGGAUAACCUACCUAUAAGACUGGGAUAACUUCGGGAAACCGGAGCUAAUACCGGAUAAUAUUUUGAACCGCAUGGUUCAAAAGUGAAAGACGGUCUUGCUGUCACUUAUAGAUGGAUCCGCGCUGCAUUAGCUAGUUGGUAAGGUAACGGCUUACCAAGGCAACGAUGCAUAGCCGACCUGAGAGGGUGAUCGGCCACACUGGAGCUGAGACACGGUCCAGACUCCUACGGGAGGCAGCAGUAGGGAAUCUUCCGCAAUGGGCGAAAGCCUGACGGAGCAACGCCACGUGAGUGAUGAAGGUCUUCGGAUCGUAAAACUCUGUUAUUAGGGAAGAACAUAUGUGUAAGUAACUGUGCACAUCUUGACGGUACCUAAUCAGAAAGCCACGGCUAACUACGUG